rnacentral:SRP_RNA from 1 species
UGCCAGGGCCCAUGGAAUGUGGACUUACGAACCCCGCCAGGGCCGGAAGGCAGCAACGGUAGUUUGCUCUGC